AAAAAGAGCAGCCUUUCGUUACGCUUGUUGCUUGUUUGACCAUAGCAUGAACCAUUCUAUCAAAGAAUUGGGUAUCUAUCUCUGUCUCUCUGUUUAUUUGCUCUGUGUAUUAACGUGCCCUUCAACCCAUUCGUAAUAUCAUCACCUUUCCUCAAAUUCUGGUCCAAAACUCAUCUCUGUACUGCUUCUUCUCUCUCUCGCAUAAAGGUUUAUGACUUUAAAGGGCCCUUUAUUGAUAUCAUUAGAUACCGAAAACUACACAUAUCUUCAUCCUUCCGAGGUUCAAUAUUUCUCUAUCUAUCAGUCUGUCUUGUGAAAAAAAAAGGAUAAAAGGAAAGUGAUGGCUUCAUCUUAUUAGAAUCAUCUAAUAGCUUCUUCCCUCUGCAGUGUACAUUUCCUCACUUUCCCAUUCUUUCAAUAAUUCUUCUCUUCGUUUUUCGAAACUUAGAAGGCUCAGAAGUUGGAAAAUGAGGUAACAGAUAACUCUUCAUAGAAAUCACACACUCUUCCCACUUACUGGCCAUGAGGAAAUAAUCUUGCGUUAAUGUAUGAUGCAUUUGGCACCUGACUUUUCAGU